CACUGUGAUAGUCAAGGUGUGCUGGAAUAAGGAGAUGAAGAACAGCUGGCCACCAUCUGCUACAAAGCUAGCCACUUCCUGCACACGCCCUGUCCUCCUCCUUCUCAGCCCACAUCCUGGAGGAGCUACCAUCAUGCCAUGUGCAAAGCCAGGACAAGCCACCUGAGACAAAGUUCAAAGAUGUACCUCCCAUGGUGUACC